rnacentral:misc_RNA from 1 species
CGAUCGACCUCUCUUCUUCUUGCUUCGAGGAUACCAUUGCCAGCAACUAGAUCCAGUUGCUGUAAACAGGGCUUUUCUGUGGUCUAUUUCUCUGAUUAAUCAAAAUGGUUGUGCUUGCUGCUUCUGUAGUGAGCAAGUCUGGGAAAGUGCUCGUUUCUAGGCAGUUUGUGGACAUGUCGCGUAUGAGGAUUGAAGGUCUUCUUGCAGCCUUUCCUAAAUUGAUUGGAACUGGAAAGCAGCACACAUAUGUUGAGACUGAGAAUGUGCGAUA